AGUGAUCCUCCUGCCUCAGCCUCCCAAAGUGCUGGGAUUGCAGGGUACCUAUGAUGGCGGGCCUGCAUGAGAUGCUGGAAGACGUGUAGAACUGAGUGAAAUUUUCUUUGUCCUCAGAGAGGUGAUGGCUCUAUUAAAGUGUCCAGAGAGAACUCAUCUCACACCAAGGGCAUAGGAGCAGCCACACUUAAGAUCAACUGUCCUUAACCACAGCAUCAUGAUACGCUGGAUUACCCAAUCGCUUGUAAGGAAAGACAGAGAUGAAGUUAUCCUGACUGCUGAGAUGAGCAGUUUACCCUAGGAGGACCUGUGGGACUAUGUUUUGGUAAAGAAAAGUUGAGCUGCUCUGUGGGAGUGAGGUUCCAAUGAAGCCAAAUGUACAAGAGUACUGAGUAUCUCUACAGUCAUCUGAUGAGCUAAAGAAGAGGCCACAUCCGCCAUCAUAGGAAAUAAAUCUCCUGACAUCUAGCUUAUAAUUACGGGAAACUCAAGGAGAACUUUCUGAAGAUUGAAAUCUGUAAGAAAGUAGAUUUCCAGAAAAGAAGUUCCCUCCUGUGAACAGAAAAAAGGACGUAUGGGAAAACACCAGGCUACAUCUUUAUACAUGUGCUGUUGACGAAAAACAAAUGCCGCGUUUUCUCAGGAAGGAGUCAGCUGGACUCUUGGCAGCACCUCUUGACCGAAGUUUUGGUGGAAAGUGGAGACCAGGUGCUAACAACUAUUGAUUGAUAACUGACGUUGAGAGGAUCUUAGCAGGCAGGAGGAGGCAAGGCCUCAGGUACAAGAGGACUAUAGAAAGAGAAUGUGCCUGCCAAAAAGCCAGGUCUUCCCUACUGGGGCAGGAUAAAGUCAAACACAAUAGGAGUUCCCUGGCUGCCAUCUUAUUCAUCUCAGGAGUUCAUCAGAAAAAGAAUCCAGAAUCUAACAACCCAAAGGAGGCUUAAUUUUUGUACUUAGUACAAAGCUACAAAAAUUAAGGUGAAUAAUGGCACCUUUGUUUUUGUUUUAUGCUAUCGUACGCAACUCAAGAAUAAUGACAUAAUGACAUCUUUUUUUUUUUUUUUUUUGAGAUGGGGUCUCGCUCUAUUGCCCAGGCUGGAGUGCAGU
rnacentral:lncRNA from 1 species